UCCAGACGCUGCUGGCCCAGUACAUGCUGGGAGCUGUAGUUCUCUCCCGCAGCAGCCCAGCCCGCAGGUUUCGUAUUGAGAACCAGGGAGCAGGUCCGGGGACAGAGAUGCCUAGGAACGGUACAAACCAAAAGAACAGGCUUCUCCCUUCCAGAACCCUUUUCCAAUCUCCCCAGCCCCGAAACACAUCAAGCUCUCUGGGACCCUGGGCUUCCUCUGUGCAUGAUGUCACCUUCCAAGGAUAUCCUACCCAAGAUCCUUUCCAGCUUCUAACAAGAGUCAGAGACCGUCUCCCUGAAAGGACACAGAAGGACACAAGGGACCCACACUGCGUGCAGCUUCCAGAGUUGCCAACCUUGACACCCAUGCUAGUGUCCCAGAAUCCACAGCUUCUGGCUGCAGGCCCAUGACCUCCCCCUGGUAGUGCCUGCUGGGGACGGACCCUCCACAGCCUCAAGAUGGAGAAUGGAGAUGGUCACUCUCCUCUGGAUACUGUUAUAUGUGGGUAUCUGCUUCCGUUCUGCAUGACCUUACCAGUGGAUGUGCCAUCCCCUCUCCCUCCCAUGUCCCUGCACUCCCACCUCCCAGCCUGUCUGACUUCACCGGACACACCGCCUGGCACACAGGAGGCACUUAAGCAGUCUACCGAGCAGGAUCAGAAGUGAGCACGUGCUCAGGAGACCGAGCUGUGUCUAAGAAGAGAUCUGGGGUCUGGUACUAGUGGCCCUGCCUCCUCAGUCCUGCUGAGGACACCUGGGCGAGGAAGCUCCCUAAACCUCAGCAUCUCUCUCACUAUCACAGUCCUCUGGCAUAGCCAGUUAGGUUGGGGAUCAUUAUGGGUUGAACUGUGUUCCACCCCUGCUCCGAAAAGAUGCUGACGUCCUAACUCUCAGGAUCCAUGAACAUGAUUCUAAAUAGGAUCUUCAUAGUUGAUUAAAUGAUAAAAUGAAGGUAUUAGGAUGGCUUUUUGGUUUUUUGCUUGUUUGUUUGUUUUGCCAUAGGGUGUAUGCGCU